UCAAACAUUAGCUCCAAUAAUUGUUCAAAAUAUAAGACAGCUAUAUUCAAAUAGAAACUAAAUAACAACUAAAGCAUCCAAUGGAAUUUCACUCUUCAUCACUAAAUGUUUCCUCAUAAACAUGGCUUCAUCCAAAACAAAACCUCAUAACCAUUACAAUUUGCGUUUUAAGCAGAAGCUGCUGCAACCUUUUUUCUUGCUGCUGCAACCUUCUUUCUUGCUGCUGCUACAGUACCUAUGCAUCACCCCCAAUAAAAAAUUAGAACAUUUUGAAAGAAAAAAAAACCCAAAAUUUCUUACAAGAAUAGAAAUACGCAAUGGAACUAAAAUCAGAAAGCAAUGAGCCUAAGGACAUUAGCAUUUUCCUACAUUCCCUGAAACCUGUCUUGAACCUACGAGGAACGUGGCGAAGAUACCUCUAUACACCGGUGAUGGAGAUGUUAGCCUCAUCUAAUUGAAAUCAACAGCUGGAAACACAAAUAAUCACACAAGUUAAAAAACCCAAAAUAAGUACUUAAACACUUCAAUUUGCAACAUUUAAGCACUUCAAUUUACAGCAUUUAAACACUUCAAUUUGCAGCAUUCAAACACUUCAAUUUGCAGCACUUUAACAUCUCAAUUAACAACAUUUAUACACCUCAAUUACAGCGAUAAAACAUCUCAAUGUCCAGCAACUAAACACUUCAAUUUGCAGUACUUAAACACUUCAAUUUGCAACAUUUAAGAACUUCAAUUUACAGCAUUUAAACAUUUCAAUUUGCAGCACUUUAACAUCUCAAUUAACAACAUUUAUACACCUCAAUUACAGCGAUAAAACAUCUCAAUGUCCGGCAACUAAACACUUCAAUUUUUAGUACUUAAACACUUCAAUUUGCAAUAUUUAAGCACUUCAAUUUACAGCAUUUAAACACUUCAAUUUACAGCAUUCAAACACUUCAAUUUGUAGCACUUUAACACUUCAAUUUAUAGCAUUUAAACACUUCAAUUUGCAGCACUUUAACAUCUCAAUUAACAACAUUUAUACACCUCAAUUACAGCGAUAAAACAUCUCAAUGUCCAGCAACUAAACACUUCAAUUUGCAGUACUUAAACACUUUAAUUUGCAACAUUUAAACACUUCAAUUUACAGCAUUUAAACACUUCAAUUUACGGCAUUCAAAUACUUCAAUUUACAGCACUUUAACACUUCAAUUUACAGCAUUUAAACACUUCAAUUUGCAGCACUUUAACAUCUCAAUUAACAACAUUUAUACACCUCAAUUAUAGCGCUAAAACAUCUCAAUGUCCAGCAACUAAACACUUCAAUUUGCAACAUUUUAGCACUUCAAUUUACAGCAUUCAAACACUUCAAUUUGCAGCACUUUAACACUUCAAUUUACAGCAUUUAAACACUUCAAUUUGUAGCACUUUAACAUCUCAAUUAACAACAUUUAUACACCUCAAUUACAGCGAUAAAACAUCUCAAUGUCCAGCAACUAAACACUUCAAUUUGCAGUACUUAAACACUUCAAUUUGCAACAUUUAAGCACUUCAAUUUACAGCAUUUAAACACUUCAAUUUACAACAUUCAAACACUUCAAUUUGCAGCACUUUAACACUUUAAUUUACAGCAUUAAAACACUUCAAUUUGCAGCACUUUAACAUUUCAAUUAACAACAUUUAUACACCUCAAUUACAGCGAUAAGACAUCUAAAUUUCUAGCAACUAAACACUUCAAUUUGCAGUACUUAAACACUUCAAUUUGCAACAUUUACUACUAAUAUAUAAUUUUAGGAUUCAUUAACUAAGAAAAGGAAGGAAAAAUAUUCUUACUGUCAUGGAAUAUCGCCUGCAACCAGCCAUUCUCCUUCUUUGUCCUGGUAGGUGAGAAUAUAAUCAUCUUCAUCACAUUUCUUGUCUGUUCAUGACAUGAAAAAGAAAAAAGCAAGCUGAAUAUUGAGAUUUUUGGUAUUCUUUUAUCUUUUGAGGAAUUUAUGUAUAUAAUCAAUGACUUUACCUUUGGCAAACAUGGUGAUCAAGGAGUGAUUUAUAUUUUAAAUCAUGAAAAUCUUUUACUUAAGGAAAAUAAUGUUUUAGUAUAUAUAUUGUUGGAGUGAUUUAAACCUUUUUGGAUCUUAUGCGUUUAAAGACAGAAUCAAGUUGUUGCUCCAAAUUUUGAAGCUCUCUAAGACUAAAAUUUUAGAUAUCUUCUCCUUCGUAAUGCCUAGAAAUAUAAUUAAUUAUUUAUUAAAAGAGAAAGAUGCAUGCCUUGAAUGUAUCUGAAAUUUGAAGCCAUUGGGGGUACCUCAGGUUUCUUUGUAAAGUCUGCAUUCUAGCUUUAAGUUUUGCAUGUUCCCAGGUCCAGUUUCCCUGUAAAAAAACAUAUUGAAAUCAUCCCAAGUCAACAAGUAGAACAUAUUUGGUGUAAUAACUAUUAUGAUGUUGAUGUAACAAUUUAAGUCAACAAUAAUAAAGCAUUCAAAAAAUAUAUAAAUUCUUUAAAAUUUCAAGUAAUAAAUAAAUAUUCAACUUUAUUUCAAUUUAGAUAUCCCGUUGAAGUUGAUUUUCAAUGUAGUUUUUUAAAUUAUAAAAUGAAGUUAAAUUUUCUGAAAAAUAUACAAAAAUUUAUUAAAAAUUUGUGAAAGAUCUUAAGAUUAUAAAAAUAACUCAACAUCUUUAUCACUCUUAAGAUCUUGUAUAAACUCAACAUCUUUAUUGAAAGGCAGACUCAACAUACCAAACAGUUUAACCUCAAAUUUGCAUUGGUUCAGAUGUCUUUACUCACGUCUUUAUUGACAGGUUUUAUGGAGACUAAUUGUUCUGCUUUCUAAAAAGUGAAUCUAAAUGCAUAACUAAUAACCAGCACCCCUAUCAUUUAAAACACCAACAAAUAGAAAAUGACUACAUUACUUCAAAGGACAAAUAGAAAGUACUCAAUUUAUCACGUAGACUACAUUACUUCAAAGGAUCCAGAAUUGAAUGCAAAUAGAAUCACAAUCAAUCCAAUCCCAUGAAAUUCAAAGAAAACAUACAGCAGAACUUAGGGGAGAAAAACAAAUAAGCAAGAGAACAGACGCAUACCAGUGGGAAUAUCUUUAAGCUGAGUACCACGACCCUGAAAAGCAAAUCAAAGUUCAAAAAACAAUCAUAACACAAAGAAAAUAAAUUGAAUGGCCUACACAUGACUCUGAAGAGCUGGGUUUUCAAAUUUCCCCAGAUAUUUAUAGGUUUGAUUCACAAUUAUUACCCAAACUAUCAUACAGUCCAUAAAUUUGCUUUCCACCAUUCUAUUUUCUCUCUCCAUCCAAUCUCCCUUUUCCAUUUCUUGCUUUUAUCUCUUCUUCUUCCAUGUCUCCUCAACCCGACCCAUGCCUGACCCGAUUUGUAUUAUCUGCUGGCGAAUGCAUUCCUUUUUCCUUCACUUCUGGAGAAAACAAUUGCUGAGGAAACGCCUCUUGCUUCUUAUUCUGGUCUCCAAAUCAAACGUUUGUUUUCUCUUUUGAAUAUCCGAUUUGAGUUUUUGGAUGGGGGAAAAUUAUAACAAGUUGAAAAAAUCAACGGCUUCACAAACCGGAAGAUUGGGGAGGGUACGUAACGCCGUGGGUAAAGGAAAUAGCCGAGAAUUUGACUUGCUUGAAAUCGGUGCAUUUUAGGAGGAUGAUUGUUAAUGAUUCAGAUUUGGAAGUAUUGGGUAGGUCUAGGGGGGAAUUUGGGGGAUUUGGUUAACGAGCGGGUAAACAAAAAAUAAUUUUUGGGAGUGAGCAGAUUUUGCCUUUUUUUAUAAAAAAAUAAUGGCCCUUU
rnacentral:lncRNA from 1 species